AGUGAGAAGACCAUGAAAGGGUUGAUCAAGAGUUAAGUUGAGUUUUCACUCCACAGUUGCGGCUGUCCCCAUCUCCCUCCUCCCCCCUCGCAUCAAUUAGGAAACCAAUUAUUGAAAUCAAAGCCGGAGAAGCGCAGUCAAGUGUUCACGUGAUAGAUUUUGGCGCGUGCAUUGUACUUAAACUUCUGUACCUGGACAACCUACACUAGUUGGCUCAGGCAUUCAGCUUUUUGACAUGGACAGACGACGAAGAAGAUUCGCAGUUUACCGGGAGCGCCACCGACAGUGUGCCGAACGAUAUGACAAUGCUCAGGCUGGGCCAGAGGGUGCUCCCGCACCUGCAGCUAGCUGAUCAGCAAUCACCACCUGUGUAUCAUACCUCUGCUGAUCUGCAAGCGGGUGCCAGAUGAUUCUUGAGUUACGAGUGUGGCUCCCUGCCCAGCCUGCCUCUGCGUUUUCCCCACGGACCACGUUACCUUACGACUUCCUCUUGGAUCCACUGCUACUUCUCCCUUUCCUGUGCCCGAACACUUUGAAAGUAAUUUCUGUGCAUUUGUAAAUACAUUAAAUAUGUUGGAGGUAGUGUUAAUUUUAAUCAGCCAUUUUUACAUGGUGUCAAUU